rnacentral:rRNA from 1 species
CAAGUCGAGCGGACAGAUGGGAGCUUGCUCCCUGAUGUUAGCGGCGGACGGGUGAGUAACACGUGGGUAACCUGCCUGUAAGACUGGGAUAACUCCGGGAAACCGGGGCUAAUACCGGAUGCUUGUUUGAACCGCAUGGUUCAAACAUAAAAGGUGGCUUCGGCUACCACUUACAGAUGGACCCGCGGCGCAUUAGCUAGUUGGUGAGGUAACGGCUCACCAAGGCGACGAUGCGUAGCCGACCUGAGAGGGUGAUCGGCCACACUGGGACUGAGACACGGCCCAGACUCCUACGGGAGGCAGCAGUAGGGAAUCUUCCGCAAUGGACGAAAGUCUGACGGAGCAACGCCGCGUGAGUGAUGAAGGUUUUCGGAUCGUAAAGCUCUGUUGUUAGGGAAGAACAAGUGCCGUUCAAAUAGGGCGGCACCUUGACGGUACCUAACCAGAAAGCCACGGCUAACUACGUGCCAGCAGCCGCGGUAAUACGUAGGUGGCAAGCGUUGUCCGGAAUUAUUGGGCGUAAAGGGCUCGCAGGCGGUUUCUUAAGUCUGAUGUGAAAGCCCCCGGCUCAACCGGGGAGGGUCAUUGGAAACUGGGGAAC